rnacentral:rRNA from 1 species
GACGAACGCUGGCGGCGUGCUUAACACAUGCAAGUCGAACGGUAAGGCCCUUCGGGGUACACGAGUGGCGAACGGGUGAGUAACACGUGGGUGGUCUGACCUGCACUUCGGGAUAAGCCUGGGCUACUGGGUCUAAUACCGGAUAGGACCACGUGCUUCACGGUGUGUGGUGGAAAGCUUUGGCGGUGUGGGAUGGGCCCGCGGCCUAGCAGCUGGUUGGUGGGGUAAUGGCCUACCAAGGCGACGACGGGUUGCCGGCCUGAGAGGGUGACCGGCCACACUGGGACUGAGAUACGGCCCAGACUCCUACGGGAGGCAGCAGUGGGGAAUAUUGCACAAUGGGCGCAAGCCUGAUGCAGCGACGCCGCGUGAGGGAUGACGGCCUUCGAGUUGUAAACCUCUUUCAGUGGGGACGAAGCGCAAGUGACGGUACCUACAGAAGAAGGACCGGCCAACUACGUGCCAGCAGCCGCCGUAA